UUGUUUUGGAAACGUUGUAUAUAAAACUAAGUAACUAACUGCCCACUUUCAUUAAAUUGGAACUGACGAAAAAAUUAUUAUAAAGAGGAAAAUUAUUAACAGUUGUCGCCAACCCAAACAUCAUUUUGUUUAAAAAAGUAUUUGAGAAAAAGAGAAUUUGAGGAAAAUCAAAAAUAUAACACCAAGUCUCCAUAUAUAAAAAAAAGACAAAUGAAACAGCAUUUCCCUUUUUACACACACACACACACACACAUACACUGAGAGCAAUCUCUUUCAAUUUACCACAAGGUAGGGUACUAAUAUACCCCAGUCCAUUGCAAGCAAAAAAUUUCUUUAAAAAAAAAUUUACCACAGAAGAAGAGUGAUGUCUAAGUAAAGGAAAAAAGGAAAGGUUCCAUUCUGGAAGGAUAAAUAAUAGGUUUUAAAUUGCUUUAGGGAAAUAUAAACAUUCCUUACAAAGGGAGGAGAAGAGAAACAAACAAAUAAGGGAUAAACAACAUCCUCCUAUAGCGCUAGAUUUGCACAAGCUAUACAAUAUCAAAAGACACACAACUUUGUAGAGAUAAAGUGAAAAGCGUGUAAAACAAUUGGCACGUUUUUCAGAGUGGAGAGCGGUGGUGAUUAG